UACGAGGGGUGCAAGCGUUGUUCGGAAUUACUGGGCGUAAAGCGUGAGGAGGCGGCUUGUUAAGUCUGAUGUGAAAGCCCUGGGCUUAACCCAGGAACUGCAUCGGAAACUAGCAGGCUAGAGUUCGGGAGAGGCGAGUGGAACUCCUGGUGUAGCGGUGGAAUGCGCAGAUAUCAGGAAGAACACCGACGGCGAAGGCAGCUCGCUGGGACGGUACUGACGCUGAGGCGCGAAAGCGUGGGGAGCGAACAGG
rnacentral:rRNA from 1 species